ACUAACUAUUCCAUUAACAAACUACCUUGAUGCUUGUGCUAUAAGCUGAAAGAUUCUGAGCCUGACCUGUUUCCAGAAAGAUGAAAUGUCCUCCAUGAUAAAGUUCUCAUGUCCUCAUGAGAACUCACAUACAUUCUGCAAGAUGACAAAACAAGGUUUUAGGAUUAUGAUGUCAAAUAGGCAUAUUAUACGCAUAGCCUAGUAAAUAUAGGCCUAGGUGAAUUCAGACAAAUUGGGCCACUUUUGACCAUUCGCUUAUGUAGCCUACAAAAAAGUGAAAAUGUACCUGAAUUCACUAAUACAUAGCCUAUAUAUUUUUAAAAGUUAAUUUAUUGUCAAGGGUUAAUAUCUAUGUACACUAGAGACUUGACACACCCUGUCAGUCAUUUCUCAUUCUGACAGACACAUCCGACUAUUGUAGGUAGCUUGCAUCUGUCUAUAUGAGGUCACCCUUGACAACCGCUGAGGAUAUGAUGAUGACUUAACAUAGUUUGGCAGUUGUGUCUCUAUAUGCUGCGCGGCCGCUCCGGAAUGAGGUAGUCUCUACCCAUCGGUUUUUAUGAGAGGUGCGAUUUCCUGUUGUAAAUCAUACUAAUUUGGUGUGGCACGAGGACGUGCAUCACACGCCUUCAGAAGCAGCCCGAGUGCGAGAGUCUGAGAGCGACGCGCGCCUGACGUCUCCAAAGGAAUUCCAGUCUGCAGUAGGCUAGGCUCGAGCUCAUCACGCAGCAACACAACCAAGUCAAGGCACGGACUUUAGCGCCGGGGAGUAGAACUAGAAGAGCAGAAAAAGUAUGGUGUGUGUGGAGUUCUUAUUUUCCGUAUUUCGGAUUGCUGUACGUCCGGCAAAUAAUGAAAAGUUGACUGUGUAAAGGACAGUGUGAGAGGUGGACUGGAAGUGAAUUGAGAGAGAGACGGGGAGGGGUCGGCAAAGGACCCGGGCAGGGAAUCGAACCCAGGUCAGCCGCAUGGCAAACGAGUGCCCUACCGGUUGGCCACGGCAGGGCCUCCCCCACCCAUCCCCAGCCUGUGACCACGCCACACCCAAGAAAGUGUGACUCACUCACCAACACAUCAGUGGCUCCAUCUAAUCUUUGGCCUCUAAGGAAUCAAAUCUCUUCUUUCAAGCGCACCAUCGGCGUCAGGGGACGUUUUAGGUUCACAACAGGAAAUGGUUCAUACAGAGUGUUCCUGUGUCACGGGCUGUAUCGGCAAAUCAAUGCAGGGCCUCCCCUCAUUGUGACACUGACGAUCAAAGCUUUUAUUCAACAUCUUGUAAAAACAUAUAUCAGACGUUACCAGGGCUCUAAAUUAACACUAUGCAACCAGCCAAAUGCUGGUGACAUUUCAUUGUGGCUGGUAGAAAAGACCAACUUACUAGCCCCUUUGACCCAUUAGCGCAGGGCUAUUCAAAUGGCGGCCCUGGGGCCAAAUGCAGCCCUUGGAUGGCAAGGUUCUGGCCCCCCACAAGCUCCUUGAAGUGCGGAAUGUUUUUUUUUAUUAUUUAUAGAUAAAAGUAUAGGAUCCUUAUCAAGUUGGAAAUAUCAAUGCAGGAAAUUGUAUCUAAGAAAUGCAUAACUUUCAGGCACCCCACCUCAAUGAAGUGUCCCAUAUUUUUUUCAUUGACAGUCAGCAACCAUAAUACAUACGUAUAGUUUGGCCCCUUUACUGGGAGGAAUUUGAAAAACUGGCCCUCGUUGACAUUUAAUUGAAUACCCCUGCAUUAGGGAGUGUGUGUUUGGCUAAUAAGAUCAAUAGCUACUAGCCAAUUUUAUUUAGAGCUCUGAACGUUACUCUCUUAUUAAACAUCAGGAUAUUGAAUGGGGAACAGCCCCCAGAAAGCGGUUCAGCACUGCUCGAAAGUGGCAAAACCUUAUUGUAUACUCUACAGAGGAGGCCAGAGGAAAGGCAUUGAUAUGCAGCCUAUUAUGGGUCAUGUACAGUUAAAUUGAGCAAUAAUCAUGGGGAGGUGAAUAGGCUUUCAAAUUCCAGUGCACAUGUUAAUUUAGUUGACAGAAGACCAAUUUUAUAGUGUUAAGUUUCAAUUUUGUUUCAAUUAUUUUAUGUCAGUGAUAUUGGCUAACCUUGGUCAAGAAAUGGAUAUUGACUAUGUUUACAUUUCAGUCUGUUUACAGUAAAGUAAUGUCUAUACUAUAACAAUAAAAUAUCAAUUUAAAAAAAGAAAUGACAGUUCUGUCUUGGUAGAAAAUUGUUUUAUUUUGUCGGUUGAGAGAAAAGUCUGAUUGUAUUGAGAGCCAAUGCUUCAUGACAGAAAUUUACAAAGCAUGGAAUCUGUCUAACAGGGCUGUUAAUAUAUUGACUUGUUUUCCCCAGCAAACACAGACAUUUCACAUCUUACACUAUACAAAACAAACAAGGCAGAAAAUGGUGGAGUAUCCUGUAUCACCUAUCAGUAAAUUUGCAAAAAAAAAAAAAAAAAGAAAAAAAAGAAAAGAAAACAAAUGAAAAAAAUAACAUAAUAAAAAAUAAAAUAAAAAAGUGCAUAACGUGAAACCAUCCGAUUACUCUAAAGGAUUUUUUUCUCUUUUUUAGUUAAGGAUUGUGAUAUUUCAUUCACUGGCGAAUUUUGUUUUUUAACAGUAGCAGCAAAACAAAAAAAGGAAAAAAAAGACAGAUCAUUGAGUAAAACUAUGUUCGAUUUUAAUCACCAUGGUGACAGUCACUAUACCAAAUGUCAUUAUGGCAUCAAUAGGUAUCAAUACAAAUAUAUUUGCACAAUCAUACGCUCACCUUCCUUUUUUUGAACUAUCAACACACCUCCCUCUUUCCCAUGCAUACUCCUCCACGUACACGCACACCAUCGCACAAACACUCCUGUCACAGACACACACACGCGCACACACGCACACACGCACACACACACACACACACACGGACAAACACACAGACACACCCACACACGGUUGGUCACAGUUUACAGGUCGCUAGGAGACAAGGGGUGUAGGAGUCAAGUACCUCAAAACAAUAAACAUCCCGUAAUACAACCACAAAAUAAAGUAAAAAAUAAAAACCUAAUGACAAAAAAGCCAAAAGAAAAAAAAGUAAAAACAAAACAAAACAAAAAAACACUUAAAAACUGGUUAGACGACACAGGCACGAGUCAAAAAACACUGACGCACAAAGAACGCGUGACAUGAUGUUAGACGGAACGGAGCGGUACUGCCUCCCUCCCCCCUCCCCCACACUUUUUUCAAUGUCGCUAGACCCUCAUUAACAAAUGAACGCUUGUUGCGCAGCUGUCUCUAAUAUGCAUAUGGUAUAUGGAGAAGUUACAGGGUUGCAGUAAUCUACACGCCAGGCAGGGAGAAAAUCUAACCACUUAUAAGAAUAAUAAUAAUAAUAAUAAUAGUAUGAUGCUUCCGAUAAUUCCAGAGGAUUCUAAAAAUUAAAAUUAAACGACAAAAUGAAACUUAAAUGUGCUCCUGGAUGUAUGUGCAGAGAGAGAGAGAGAGAGAGAGAGAGAGAGAGAGAGAGAGAGAGAGAGAGAGAGAGAGAGAGAGAGAGAGAGAGAGAGAGAGAA